CCUGACCCUAGACAUGUUGCAGCUAUGGCUGCUGUGUCAUAUGUGCCACAGUAAAUGACAGAGAGGAGAUAGGUUAUGUCUAUACUCAGUGUUCUUAUCUGUGAACAUCUGAGUGAUUGGUGGUCUAACAUG
ensembl:snoRNA LOC120097238 small nucleolar RNA SNORA17